rnacentral:rRNA from 1 species
GGCGAGCGGCGGAGGGGUGAGUAGUGUCUGGGAAACUGCCUGAUGGAGGGGGAUAACUAGUGGAAACGGUAUCUAAUACCGCAUAACGUCGCAAGACCAAAGAGGGGGACCUUCGGCCCUCUUGCCCUCAUAUGUGCCCAGAUGGGAUUAUCUAAUAGGUGGGGUAACGGCUCCCCUAGGCCACUAUCCCUAUCUGGUCUGAGAAGAUGACCACCCACUGUGGAACUGACACGCGGCCCACACUCCUACGGGAGGCAACAGUGGGGAAUAUUGCACAGUGGGCGCAACCCUGAUGCACCCGUGCCGCGUGUAUAAAAAAGGCCUUCGGUUUGUAAAGUAUUUUCCGCGGGGAAGAAGGCGAUGGGGUUAAUACCCUUGUCUAUUGACUUUACCCGCAAAAGAAGCCCCGGCUAUCUCCGUGCCAGCACCCGCGGUAAUACGGAGGGUGCACGCGUUACUCGGAUUUACUGGGCGUAAAGCGCACGCACGCGCUCUGUCAAGUCAGAUGUGAUCUCCCCGGUCUCACUCUGAGAACUGCUUU